rnacentral:rRNA from 1 species
AAGACCUUCGCGCUUUUGGAGCGGCCGAUGCCUGAUUAGCUUGUUGGUAAGGUAAAAGCUUACCAAGGCUUCGAUCAGUAGCUGGUCUGAGAGGACGACCAGCCACACUGGGACUGAGACACGGCCCAGACUCCUACGGGAGGCAGCAGUGGGGAAUUUUGGACAAUGGGGGCAACCCUGAUCCAGCCAUGCCGCGUGAGUGAAGAAGGCCUUCGGGUUGUAAAGCUCUUUCAGCCGGAACGAAACGGUUACGGUUAAUACCCAUGACUACUGACGGUACCGGAAGAAGAAGCACCGGCUAACUACGUGCCAGCAGCCGCGGUAAUACGUAGGGUGCGAGCGUUAAUCGGAAUUACUGGGCGUAAAGCGUGCGCAGGUGGUUUUGUAAGUCAGAUGUGAAAGCCCCGGGCUCAACCUGGGAACU